GACCCGGUGGUGAAAUGUAUCACACCCACCCCCAAUAGUGUGUUGCCUGUGCAAAGCAUUUGUGGGGGGUCCCUUGUUCGAAUCAAGGCUGGGUCU